rnacentral:rRNA from 1 species
GAUGAACGCUAGCGGGAGGCUUAACACAUGCAAGUCGAGGGGCAGCAUAGGGUAGCAAUACUCUGAUGGCGACCGGCAAACGGGUGAGUAACGCGUAUGCAACCUACCCUGUACAGGGGGAUAACCCGGAGAAAUUCGGACUAAUAUCCCGUAAUAAUAUCCGGAGGCAUCUUUGGAUAUUUAAAGUUCCGACGGUACGGGAUGGGCAUGCGUAACAUUAGCUGGUUGGUAAGGUAACGGCUUACCAAGGCUAUGAUGUUUAGGGGUCCUGAGAGGGUGGUCCCCCACACUGGUACUGAGACACGGACCAGACUCCUACGGGAGGCAGCAGUGAGGAAUAUUGGUCAAUGGGCGCAAGCCUGAACCAGCCAUCCCGCGUGCAGGAAGACGGCCCUAUGGGUUGUAAACUGCUUUUCCAGGGAGAGAAACUUACGCACGUGUUGCGUGACUGACGGUACCCUGGGAAUAAGCAUCGGCUAACUCCGUGCCAGCAGCCGCGGUAAAACCGAGAGUA